rnacentral:rRNA from 1 species
GUGGGGAAUAUUGGACAAUGGGGGGAACCCUGAUCCAGCCAUGCCGCGUGUGUGAAGAAGGCCUUUUGGUUGUAAAGCACUUUAAGCGAGGAGGAGGCUACCGAGAUUAAUACUCUUGGAUAGUGGACGUUACUCGCAGAAUAAGCACCGGCUAACUCUGUGCCAGCAGCCGCGGUAAUACAGAGGGUGCAAGCGUUAAUCGGAUUUACUGGGCGUAAAGCGCGCGUAGGUGGCCAAGUAAGUCAAAUGUGAAAUCCCCGAGCUUAACUUGGGAAUUGCAUUCGAUACUGGUUGGCUAGAGUAUGGGAGAGGAUGGUAGAAUUCCAGGUGUAGCGGUGAAAUGCGUAGAGAUCUGGAGGAAUACCGAUGGCGAAGGCAGCCAUCUGGCCUAAUACUGACACUGAGGUGCGAAAGCAUGGGGAGCAAACAGGAUUAGAAACCCGUGUAGUCC